GCUGAGAGUUGCGGGCGGCUUAGGCUGCCUCCCAGAGCUGGAAAAACAGGCCCACAGGUUUCAAUCUCCUAAGCAGGCAACCUAGCCUUGGCUUCCCAGCCCCAAAAGCUGAAUCUGUGAAACCCCAUGACCUGUGUCACCUCUGCAUCGCGGGGUGGCGGGACGGGAUUCAUUGGGACAGCCCUAACACAGCUACUGAAAACCAAGGGCCACGAAGUUAAGUUGGUCUCCAGACAGCCUGGCCCGGAUCGAAUUACGUGGACUGAGCUCAGCAGGUCGGGGCUGCCCCUCUGUGAUGUUGUCAUCAACCUGGCUGGAGAGAACAUCCUCAACCCUCUGCGAAGGUCAACAGGGCCACAAAGCUGAUAGCCCCUGCGCAGGGGGAGAGGGUCAACGCCUGUGAGCUGUGCAUGAUGGAAUGAAACCUUCCAAAAGGAGGUUCUUACCAGCCGCCUGGAUACCACCCACUUGCUAGCUAAAGCCAUCACGGAAGCUGCACAACCACCUCAGGCCUGGAUCAUACCUGUCCCCAGCGCUGUGGUACAAGCAAUCUUUGGACGAGAGCGUGCCAUCAUGCUGUUGGAAGGCCAGAAAGUGGUCCCCCGGAGGACACUGGCCACGGGCUACCAGUAUUCCUUCCCAGAGUUAGGAGCUGCCUUAAAGGAUGUUGUAACCUAAGUAGAGAAGGGAGCCCCAAGGCAGGAGGUGGGGCCUGUUCCUGCAUUCUGAGAAGUGAGUCAGGUGAUUGCUGUACUUGACUGAGAUCAGAAGCCAUCUGGCUCUUAGACUCUCUCUCUCUCCCCUUUCUUCCCAUGUUCUGUUGAUCCACCUCUCUCCAAGAAACUCCAGUCUCAAGGAUCUAAUCUCAUUCUAACCUUAACCUCCUCAACUUCUUGUGGCUUCUGUGUCACAUUGUUGCCCUGGUUCUCCUACAUGCUAUGUAGACAAAGUUCUACAGUUGUGGCAAUAAAGGUAGACUGUGUCUGU
rnacentral:lncRNA from 1 species